rnacentral:rRNA from 1 species
UACAGAGGUCCCAAGCGUUGUUCGGAUUCAUUGGGCGUAAAGGGUGCGUAGGUGGCAGGGUAAGUCGGAUGUGAAAUCCCGGGGCUCAACCUCGGAACUGCAUUCGAUACUGCUUUGCUGGAGUACUGGAGAGGAGAUUGGAAUUUACGGUGUAGCAGUGAAAUGCGUAGAUAUCGUAAGGAAGACCAGUGGCGAAGGCGGAUCUCUGGACAGUUACUGACACUGAGGCACGAAGGCCAGGGGAGCAAACGGG